rnacentral:rRNA from 1 species
UACGGGGGGGGCAAGCGUUGUUCGGAAUUACUGGGCGUAAAGGGCUCGUAGGCGGCCAACUAAGUCAGACGUGAAAUCCCUCGGCUUAACCGGGGAACUGCAUCUGAUACUGGAUGGCUUGAGGUUGGGAGAGGGAUGCGGAAUUCCAGGUGUAGCGGUGAAAUGCGUAGAUAUCUGGAGGAACACCGGUGGCGAAGGCGGCAUCCUGGACCAACACUGACGCUGAGUGAGCGAAAGCCAGGGGAGCAAACGGG